GACGAACGCUGGCGGCGUGCUUAACACAUGCAAGUCGAACGAUGAACUUGGAGCUUGCUCUGGGGGAUUAGUGGCGAACGGGUGAGUAACACGUGCGUAACCUGCCCUGGACUCUGGGAUAACUUCGAGAAAUCGGAGCUAAUACCGGAUAGGACCUUGCACCGCAUGGUGUGGGGUGGAAAGUUUUUCGGUUUGGGAUGGAGUCGCGGCCUCUCAGCUUGUUGGUAAGGUAAUGGCUCACCAAGGCGUCGACGGGUAGCCGGCCGGCGAGGGUGACCGGCCACAAUGGGACUGAGACACGGCCCAGACUCCUACGGGAGGCAGCAGUGGGGAAUAUUGCACAAUGGGCGCAAGCCUGAUGCAGCAACGCCGCGUGCGGGAUGACGGCCUUCGGGUUGUAAACCGCUUUUAGUAGGGAAGAAGCCUUCGGGUGACGGUACCUGCAGAAAAAGGACCGGCUAACUACGUGCCAGCCGCCGCCGUAAUAC
rnacentral:rRNA from 1 species